UACGUAGGGUGCGAGCGUUAAUCGGAAUUACUGGGCGUAAGGCGUGCGCAGGCGGUGAUGUAAGACCGAUGUGAAAUCCCCGGGCUUAACCUGGGAACUGCAUUGGUGACUGCAUCGCUCGAGUAUGGCAGAGGGGGGUAGAAUUCCACGUGUAGCAGUGAAAUGCGUAGAGAUGUGGAGGAAUACCGAUGGCGAAGGCAGCCCCCUGAGUCAAUACUGACGCUCAUGCACGAAAGCGUGGGGAGCAAACAGG
rnacentral:rRNA from 1 species